rnacentral:rRNA from 1 species
GACAGAGGGUGCAAACGUUGUUCGGAUUUACUGGGCGUAAAGCGCGUGUAGGCGGCCUUGCAAGUCGGAUGUGAAAGCCCACGGCUCAACCGUGGAAGUGCAUCCGAAACUGCAUAGCUUGAGUCUCGGAGAGGAAGGUGGAAUGCUUGGUGUAGAGGUGAAAUUCGUAGAUAUCGGGAGGAACACCAGAGGCGAAGGCGGCCUACUGGGUCAGUACUGACGCUGAGACGCGAAAGCCAGGGGAGCGAACGGG